CCUUCGGAGAGUUUGAUCCUGGCUCAGGAUAAACGCUGGCGGCGUGCAUGAGACAUGCAAGUCGAACGGACGACCAAGGCUUGCUUUGGUCGUUAGUGGCGGACGGCUGAGUAACGCGUAGGCGACCUACCCUGAAGUGGGGAAUAACUGCCCGAAAGGGUGGCUAAUACCGCAUGUGGUGAUGCGUUCGUUCGCAUCAGUAAAGCCGCAAGGCGCUUCGGGACGGGCCUGCGUCCGAUUAGCUCGUUGGUGGGGUAACGGCUCACCAAGGCGACGAUCGGUAGGUGGUCUGAGAGGACGAUCACCCAGACUGGGACUGAGACACGGCCCAGACUCCUACGGGAGGCAGCAGUCGGGAAUUUUGCGCAAUGG
rnacentral:rRNA from 1 species